UCGCUGUUCGCCGCUCUCCCUUCGCUUCCUCCGUCGCAGUCCUGUUUCUUUUCUUGCGCGUGCGUUCAGCUCCUUUGCUCAGCCGCGGAGGUGGAGGGACCACGAGGACUGCGGGCCCUAGGGUCCACAGAUGACAUAUCAGUCGAUAGGCAUGCAUUUACUGUUCGAGGGAAACAAAUAAGGGUGCAGCUUAGGCGAAAAGAAAAUCGUCUUAUUGCCAGUGUCUAAACUCCUAACGACGGAAUGUGUCUCUGAGACUAUGAGUGUGGAUACACGUGUACUUAAAACAGCCCCGCCUGUGUGCAGAGCUCUUGCUGUACGUCAACGCUUUACAGGAGCUAUCGCACUUAAGCCUCAGAACAACUUGAUGAGGCCUAUUUCUAACAGGCUUAUUUAUGUGCAUUCUUAUUCUAUCCCGGAUUGGAAUCAGAAAAUUGGACAGUGUUGCAGGUACUCAUUGAUGCAGGCCUACCAGCAGCCACAAAAGUGAGAACUGAAUACACUACAAGAAAUGUUGAAGAAAGAGCUUCAGACAGAAGGGAAAUGAUACCAUUUGGAAAUACAGAUCUACACAAAGGAAUGAUGAGCCCUGGAAAAGUUUACAAAAUGGGAAAACUGUGCCUCACAAAGCAGUAACUUUUUGAAGAUGACAGAAUUUGUAAGUAAUGUCAAAAUUUAAACUCAAAUUUAUUUUACUCCCAAAUAUACAAUCUUCCACAGUAGACUGUCCCUAUUUAGAUUUCUGGUUAAAUACCAAGACUGACAGAUGCUAUAAUAACUACUGAUAACUAAGCUCAGACUGUGUUACUCACUUCUCCCACACCACUUUUACCACCCAGUAUGUUGUCUGGCAUGUUUGUUGAGUAUAGAUUAUACAUAGCACCAAUACGCAAUUAAGAGCUCAAAACUUAUUUGUUGCUUUUUUUGACACGAUUCCAUUUUUAACAUUCAUAGUGUCUGCUGAAACUAAGAAAUUGAGUGUGUGACCUUGGAGGAUCUUUUCAGGCUAAUAUUAAAGCCAAUAAUUUAUCUGUGCGCUUCUGUAAGUAGAAUUAAACAGAAGUGAUCCUAUAGCCCUAAAACUGAACUUGAGGAAAUCUUUUACUUUUCCGCGAAAUCUUCCUUUCCUCUGUGUGUGUGUGUGUGUGCGCUUUAAAUUAUGGUUACUAGUCUGGAAGAUAUGGUUUGAUAUGUGGUCAAAGUGGCCCCCAGAUUUUCUUUGUUGAAGUAAAGAGAGUAAGCAACAACACAGGAACAUUUCUAAAUUGCUAAAAAAAAUUUAUUCCAUUAUUGGAUAGAGUUCAAUAGACAUAAAACUUUUACAAUAAAAUUGCUUUUAGGUGACUUUUGGAGGCACAAUAGGGUAUUAGUUAAGAAAACUGGCACUGGAAUCAGACAGAUCUGACAUCCUAGCUCUGCCCACUUGCCAGCUAUGUUCCCUUAAUGAUAUAACUUAGGCCUCAAUUUUGCCCAUCUGUGAAAUGGGUUAGUAAUACUUACCUCACAGAGUUGUGAAUAUUAAAUGAGAUAAUAAAUAUCAGAGCACUUAACACAGUGUCCAGCAUACAGUAAGUACUCAAUAAAUGUUCCAUUGCCAGCUACUAUGAAGAUACUGCUACAUACAUGUAGGAAUCCAAAGCCAUAUUAGAUUAUAAUGAUGAAAUGCUAAAAGUAUUUAAUGAUAUAAUCUCUUGUUUACAGAAAAUGUAUCACACAGAUUCCAAAAACUCUUAGCUCAGGGAGUAUCAAACUUGAUCCAUUCCUAUUUAAAGAAACAAGUAAGAUAGCACAUUCUAAUACUGAACCUUCUUUAAAGGUGGUUUUCUAUUUCCAUAGUCCCAUAGCCAGGAUUUGCUUUGGGGAUGGAAAUUCAUGUUGACCCUGACAGUUUUACAUUAAAACAAACUCCAUAUUUAAGAGCAAAAAGUUUGGAUGAUGUGUUAAUGUAUCUUUUAUAUUCUAUAUUUUUUGUAGCCAUAGCCUUUAUACAAAAGUACUGCAGUCUAAAAAAAGUUGUAGGUAUUUAUUUUGUGUUUUAUCUUAAGACAUAAUUUUUGAGGACCUUCAAUUAAAAAUUCAGAACAUUGAGUGAGAUAAUCCAGAAAAACUGAGUCUUUCAAUUUUAUUCAUUCAGUUUGUUAUUCUCACUCAUUAAGGGGUCAGCCAAAAUGAAGAGACAAUGUUUAAUAAAGGACAGCUUUGUCUGACCUGAAGGAAAGUGUUCCAAAGCUAGAGCACCUCCUUAGAAACUGUUUUGAAAUUGAUACCUCAUCUUACAAUCAAAGUUCAUACAUAGCCCUCGAUCUUCAUUGCAUUCCCUCAUUAGUCCAUAGGGUUUCAGUCAAUUUCUAUAUGAUGAUGACUUUCACAUGUACAUCAACAGCCCAAUAGCUUAUCAAGAAAGCUUGAGUCUUCUAUUUUCUAGUGACAUCCCACUUAGAUCUGGCAUUAAGUUCAUUUUUUUCCUUCUAGCUAUUUCUUCCAAAUUUCUUGGCUAUUGUUACUAACAACACAAAUUUUUGGAUCUUCCAAUUUACAGUCUUAGGUUCAUUUCCUUAUUUUCUUUCCCUCCCAUAUGAAAACAGUUGCUAAACUUGUUACUUCUUAUAGUUGUUACUUUAUAAUGUACUUCGGGUAUGCCCCUUUUCAUUUUUAAAACUGCCAGUUUAAUUCAAGCUCUUAAAUGUCAAGGUGUUUUGUAGCCUCUUGUAUUAUAUCGCAUUACAUUGCAUUGCAUUGCAGCCUCUUGGUUUUCUCUCUAGUCCCCAUCCUCUUUUACCCCUUCCCCACUAGCCAAUACAAAAUAUAAAAUAUUUUUCAUCAAACACCCUGUAAAAAAGUGAAUAAGGUGGGUGAAUAAGGAAAACCUGAUUGACUAGGAAAAGGGAAUUUAAAUGGAAUCUCCUUUCUUUUCAAUGAUUCUAUCUGGAAGGAAAGGAGAAGAGCAGAACCUUCAGGAAUUGGCUCAUAACUUAGAUACUGAAUGGGAAAUUGUUGUCAGGAAGAGACUGAUAAUACAUGGCAAUAACCAUUGGAAAGCUAAAAGGAGACAUAAAAUUCAACUUUUGCUAGCCACUCUUUCCCUUUUUGCUCUCCAUAUACCUCAUAUGUGCAGUAUUUAUUUUGUUUGUCUUAUUCUGGUCAUAAAGUUAUCUAGGAGGCUAGGAGCGCUGACCACCAUCAGAGAUGGGAAAGUAGUCUGUUCUGAUUGUAGUGACGAAAGGAGUUCAAUUCACACCAAGGGUCUUUCUCGCAUUUAGAAACAUCCUAUUAUUUAAGGCCUUUCGCUCAUAUAAGCUCAUCACUAGUUCUUUACCUUUCUAUUUCAUUUCUCUCUACUCUCAUGUUUGUGUUCUCCGUUCCUAUCAAAGUAUCAUGUCUGGGAGAUGACCUGCCUGUUCCUGCUCUGCAGUAGUUUUGUAUAUUGCUAUAUCUCCAGUGCCUCAAAUAGUGCCUAGCACAUAGCACAGAGUAAGUACUCAACAAGUGUUUGAUGAAUCAAUGAAUGAUUACCCUUUCUCUCUGGCAAUCCAAAUCCAUUGCCGCUUACAAAAAAAAAAUCUAGCAGCUGGCCCAGUGGCAAUUAAGUUCACAUGCUCUGUUUCGGCAGCCCAGGGUUCACUGGUUCGGGUCCUGGGCGUGGUCCUAUGCACGGCUUAUCAAGCCAUGCUGUGGCAGGCGUCCCACAUAUAAAAAAAUAGAGGAAGAUGGGCACAGAUGUUAGCUGAGGGCCAAUCUUCCUCAGCAAAAAGAGGAAGAUUGGAGGCAGAUGUUCGCUCAGGGCUAAUCUUCCUCAAACAAACAAAAAAUUGACAUAAGGUUUGCCUACUCCAGUAAACUUCUAUCCAUUAUCAAUCUAGUUUUAAAUCACUUCAUUUUCCACGUCCCCUUCGCAAUUAUUUAUAGUUUUCACUCAAUUAAUGUACUCUUAUUAUGUUACUUUUUAUAUACUCCCACAUCUUUUCUAUAUAUGUUAUAUUUUCAACUAAAAGAGUAUGCCUCAAAUGUUAUAUAUUGUAUGUGCUGCUCAACAGUGCCUCCUGUGCUACAGAAAGGUAGACACUCAAUAGAUGGGUGGUUACUGCCUUUUAAGGUCUAUUCUCUGGAUCAAUGUGAUCUGCCUUGAAAGGGAGUUUAGAUCCAUAGGUUCUGUUUUUUGCUACUUCACUCAUACAUUGUGUGACUUUGAGUAAAAUUGUUCCUUCAGUGUUCAGUUUAAGAACAAAUUUUUUAAAAAGGAACAGUUUCCUAAAGAAAGACAUUUUAAAGCUACAGGAGCAUCUAUAGGUUGGUAACAUUUCUCCAGAAAUAUGUGAUGUAAUAUAAAAGUUCGGGACUGGUCACUUUGAAUCUUUUCUUGGAAUUUCUGUAGAAAUUUCCAUGUAGCAGAGAAACUGAAAUAGUGUUAUGUAGAAAAUAUUAUUAACUAAGAAAAGACCCCUAAUUUCAUCAUAGAGAAUAAGUAGAGGUAAUAUUCUGGAUUUUUGCAAUACUUAAGCUAUUUCUUAGUUGUCUCAUGAAGGAAUUAAUGUAGUGGAACAUAUUCAAGGAAUGACUUGAAUUCAAGGUGUCAGAAUUAAGACUGUACAAAGGUGUAACCGUGUUUUCUAUACUGGAUUUUCAAAUAGCUAAAUUAAAAGCCAAUCACUCUCUGGCUUCUUUCUUCAUCUAUAUUGUCUUCUAGCAACAAUAAAUUUGGGCAACCUGUACAUUAAAGCAAUUUCUAACCAUGCCAAAUCAACUUCAGUUUCUAGUCAUUUCCAGUUCCUCCUCCAUGAAAGUGUACAACAUUUAGGUUAUUCCACAUAUUUGCCCCAUAUUCCAAAGUGUUAGGUUGCCAAAGAAAACUGAUCAGGUAAUACUACUAUUUGUCUUCAUGUAGUCAUUCUAAGUACACAUAAAAUCAGACAUUAACACAAAAAUAUGAAGGGAAGAAAAACAUCAAGCCAUAGAAUUGAGUUUUAGUUUUACUGACAUUUAUAUAUCACACUUCCUGUUUAUGAUUUCAGAAGUGCAACCAUGCAGUGCUUCUAUUAAAAACUGAGUAAUUGACAACAGUUUGAGGAUUACAGUGACAACUUACUCAAAGGAAAAAAUACUAAACUUCUGCCUUCGUUUGUGGAACUGCUAUCUUUCUUGUGUAAAAAGUUGAGUAUUUUUCAACCAUCAUUUACUAAUAGUGUAGUUAAAAGGGAGCUUAAUAGCCUUGUGCCCCUAAAACAAGCAACCAGACAUGAAUCUUAGUUCUGAAUUUGACUAGUUUAUGGAAUAAAAAAACCAAGCCAAACCUCCUCUAAUACAUAUAUGUAAAGGCAAUGCUUGCAAAAAUUUGCUUUUUUCCCUCAUUUUGUGAUUUCAGUUGUCUAUUGUUAUGCAUUAAUUAACAAUUUCACCUGAAGGAGGGAAAGGGUAGAUGUGAAUACAGUUUUUAAAUAAAAGCCCCUUUCUCUAUUAACUUGUUCUAAUUGAAGCAUAAUUAUGUCAGUUUAUUUUUCGGUGACUUCAGAGUGUGUGUGUGUGUGUGUGUGUGUGUGUGUGUGUAGAGAGAGCGAGCGCCCAAGUGAGCAAUGACUGCUAGCUAGACAUGAAAAUCCAUGUCCUCACUUCUUGGCCAAACAGAUAACCUUUUUCCCCGCCCCCCUUGCAGUUAGCUGUGGGCAUACGACUAAGUCACAGCUAAUGGAAUAAGUAUGCACUACUUUGAGUCCCCUCCCCUAGAAAACUCUCCUUCCAGCAGACUGAAGUAGAGAAGACCCCCAGGGAGACUUUGGAAGUUUGGUACUGAAAGCCUAGGUACUGAAAGACCUUGGAAACGUAAAUAUUAUUGAACUACUUGUUCAUUUUAGCAAGAAACAAAUUGGAGCCAUUAUACAUUUGGGGGUUAAUCUGUUAUGGCAAUUAGCCUAUCCUAAUUAAUUCAAUAUACAAAACUUAUAUUUGCAGUGUCCCUAUGAUGCACAACUCCAGAGAGCACCAUUUACAUUGUAUGCAUGUAAAUGGAAUUUCCUGAAGCAGUUAAGAGGCUACAGGAUCAGCUGUCCCUGCUCUGAGCUAAGGCAAGCCCCUCUACUUGUGCCCCGGAUCCCAUCUUUUCUUGUAGAGUCAAGGAUUGCGUUCUUGAUUGGUUCCUGGAAGUGGAACUACUGUAUCAAAGAUUUGGAUGUUUUUAAGACCCCAGAAAGGUAAUAUAAUAGAUGAGAUUAUAAAUUUCAUUGCAUUCUUAGCAACACUAGCUAUUAACACUUAUUUUCAAUCUUUGUCAAUCUGAUGGGGAGAUUCUUUCUGUAAUUUAAUUUGAUAAAGUUGCAUUUUUGCUGAUAUACUCAUAUUAAUAACUUUACUACCUCAAGGACUUAUAAUUCUUUGUCUUCUCCAUGAUGCUUAACAUAGAGCCUUGCCAACAUGUUGAAGAAUAUAUCUUUUUUAUUGACUUUGGCAAUAUUUCUUUAAAAAUAAGUUAUUUUUUGAAUACAUAGAAAGGUGAAGAAAAAUAACAUAAAGGAUCCAAAUUAUUUUACUUAAUAAAAUGUAUGACUGUAUUUAGUUCUUCAUGUAGUAGUAGACACAGCAUUACUACUAUCAGCUAGCAAUAUAUUUUUUGUCGAAUCUCUUUAUUGAAAUCAUAUUGAAUUUAUGGCUUACUGUACCAUUUUCACUACAGCACUUUCCAAAAUGCUUAGUUUAUAAGCUUCAGAAAAACAUUCACUAGAUAACUACUUUGAAAUAAUUUCCUCAACCCUGCCUUCAUUCAGAAUGCCUAGAAACAGACUGGCCCACUUCCAGUUUUCUUUCAUGUUAUCCUUACUAUGAAGUCAUUCUAUAGAUAGGGUAAUAAGUAUUCUGGCAUAACAGAAAAAUAGCAUCUGUAAAACUAUAUGGCACAGUUUGGCUGGGGUUGUUCCUUGAGAACUGCAUUACGUAAUUUAAAAGUGUUUACUUAAGCUCCUUUGGGCUGCCUCCAUGGUAGCUAUGAAGUCACAGAGAAUUAGGAACAGUUUGGGCCCUGAUAACAAAGUCUGUCAGUUUAACGUGAACACUGUGUCAGUUUUUUUAAAAUCAUUGCUAUAUAAGAAACUUCAAAAACAAAGAUAUACUUAAGUCAUUUUAUUUUUUUUAAAAAGCAUGCUACUUCAAAAAUCAUUAAGAAAUACACACAAAAAAAUAGAGUUCAUAAGUGUAC
rnacentral:lncRNA from 1 species